GACAGCUGUCAUGUUAAGUUUGCAAUUCAUUUGUUUUAAAUUUUGUUACAAUAGUAGAUUUGAUUUUGUUUUAAAUGGUGCAAAGUGUAAAUACUCUAAAACAAUGACUCUUCAAUUAGCGUCUCACGGAACAGACGCCGUAGUGUCUGAAAAAUCAUUUGCUGAAAUGGACAUUUCGGCAUAUGUUGGCUCAUGCCAAUUUCUAACAACGAUUGUGCCACUUUCAAUUGCUUCCGUAUUGAAUAGGCGUUGCAACUUUGAUCCAGAAUAUAUUCGUAAUUACUCUUUGAAAGGAGUGCCUUAUGUUGGAUUUCGGUCAAAUAUUCCACAUGGACAUAACUUGGCUAGGUUUUUAGCAAUGCAACCACGUAUGAAGACGUAUAUCGAACGAAAACACCUCAAGGAAAUUUGUGUUAACAUUCUAAGUCGAGAAAGUGAUGAAACAGUUGAAAAGUACGUUUUCAAGUUGACUUAUAAAUCUGGUGAUGGCAACUUUUCGCGUGGACGAACAGCUGAAGUGGUUGCCAGCAAGUUUUUCAAUCAAAUAAACCAACUUCCCAAGAACAAUCUCGCUGACCAUGAAGUAAAAAUCAUAUUCAACUGGCAAUUUUAUGAUAGUACGUCGGU